AGUGAAGAUAGAGGCGCGAACUUCAAGAGUAGGCAUUUGGAGGAAAAUGGGUUCCAAAGAAAAAUGCCGAAAGGGGAGGCUCGCCGAAGUGGGGGAAGUCUCAUUGCUUUUCCUGCUGGUCCUGCGUUUAAGAAAUGUAGGACUGUCAAGAUGACCCAUCUUGGAGAGCUAUCUCACUG
rnacentral:ncRNA from 2 species